GACAGAGGGUGCAAACGUUGUUCGGAAUUACUGGGCGUAAAGCGCGUGUAGGCGGCUAAGUGUGUCGGGCGUGAAAUCCCACGGCUCAACCGUGGAAGUGCACCCGAAACUACGUAGCUAGAGUCCUGGAGAGGAAGGUGGAAUGCUUGGUGUAGAGGUGAAAUUCGUAGAUAUCUGGAGGAACACCGGUGGCGAAGGCGGCAUCCUGGACCAACACUGACGCUGAGGAGCGAAAGCCAGGGGAGCAAACGGG
rnacentral:rRNA from 1 species